AUCAUUACCGAGUUAUCCAACUCCCAACCCCUGUGAAUCAUACCUUUAAUUGUUGCUUCGGCGGGACUUCGCGCCCGCCGGGGACCCGAACCUUCUGAAUUUUUUAAUAAGUAUCUUCUGAGUGGUUAAAAAAAUGAAUCAAAACUUUCAACAACGGAUCUCUUGGUUCUGGCAUCGAUGAAGAACGCAGCGAAAUGCGAUAAGUAAUGUGAAUUGCAGAAUUCAGUGAAUCAUCGAAUCUUUGAACGCACAUUGCGCCCGUCAGUAUUCUGGCGGGCAUGCCUGUUCGAGCGUCAUUACGCCCCUCAAGUCCCCUGUGGACUUGGUGUUGGGGAUCGGCGAGGCUGGUUUUCCAGCACAGCCGUCCCUUAAAUUAAUUGGCGGUCUCGCCGUGGCCCUCCUCUGCGCAGUAGUAAAACACUCGCAUACAGGAGCCCGGCGCGGUCCACUGCCGUAAAACCCCCCAACUUUUUAUAGUUGACCUCGAAUCAGGUAGGACUACC
rnacentral:rRNA from 1 species